rnacentral:pre_miRNA from 1 species
AAAAAGACAAACCCUGAUUUUCGUGUCCAACGUUUGACCGUCCGUCUUAUUUAAAAAAAUUAUAAAAAAAAUUAAAAAGAUAAGUCACGUAUAAAGUAUUAAUCAUGUUUUAUCAUCUAACAACAACGAAAAUAAUAAUUAUAAAAAAAAUUAUAUAAGACGGACAGUCAAACGUUGGCACGGGAACCCACAGUU